UAUUGCACAAUGGGGGAAACCCUGACGCAGCGACGCCGCGUGAGCGAAGAAGUAUUUCGGUAUGUAAAGCUCUAUCAGCAGGGAAGAAAAUGACGGUACCUGACUAAGAAGCCCCGGCUAACUACGUGCCAGCAGCCGCGGCAAUACGUAGGGGGCAAGCGUUAUCCGGAUUUACUGGGUGUAAAGGGAGCGUAGACGGUAAAGCAAGGCUGAAGUGAAAGCCCGGGGCUCAACCCCGGGACGGCUUUGGAAACUGUUUAACUAGAGUGCUGGAGAGGUAAGCGGAAUUCCUAGUGUAGCGGUGAAAUGCGUAGAUAUUAGGAGGAACACCAGUGGCGAAGGCGGCAUACUGGACAGUAACUGACGUUGAGGCUCGAAAGCGUGGGGAGCAAACAGG
rnacentral:rRNA from 1 species